UACGGGGGGGGCAAGCGUUGUUCGGAAUUACUGGGCGUAAAGGGCUCGUAGGCGGCCAACUAAGUCGGACGUGAAAUCCCUCGGCUUAACCGGGGAACUGCGUCCGAUACUGGAUGGCUGGAGGUUGGGAGAGGGAUGCGGAAUUCCAGGUGUAGCGGUGAAAUGCGUAGAUAUCUGGAGGAACGACCGGUGGCCGAAGGGCGGCA
rnacentral:rRNA from 1 species